rnacentral:lncRNA from 1 species
GCUCGAGACCUGUGCAUGAAUAAUGAUUUAUUAAUGACUGACAGCUGAUCUACAGUGUGUUUUGUAAGGUCAAAAGUUAAUUUUGUUUCUCCUGUUCACCAAGGGUGUUAUUGGCUCACAAGGUUACAAUUUAUCAAUCGAUCAAAUUUAAUGUCAGUAUACAUAUAUUUGAUCUUCCAAAUUACAAUUCCAUAUGUUGAAUCUGGAGUUUAAAACAAAAGAUAUAUAAUCUGUGUACAGAGCUACCAUGGUGCCCCUCCUUUCAAAAUUUACUGCUUUAACAUGAUUUUCUCCAUAACUUACUCAUCUCAUUUAUUUGUUGUUGUAGAUUGCCAAGAAAUUGAUGAUGCUUGGCUCAGAUGUUGAUUGCAAGGUUAAGAAUGUGGCCAAUAUUAGAUAAUUAGACUGUCAUUUUAAGGGUCAAUGUUUCAACCAUUGUAGUUGAUUGCAAGGUCGACAAUUGGGCUACUACUAGAUAGUUUCACAUCUUGUAAUCUUUGGAAUGUGUUCUCUGUAAUGCAACACGAUUGAUUUAAUACAUCCGACUUUUUUAUUGUAUAUUGUGGCUCCUAUUCGUUACCUCAUAAUUCUUGAUGGCAAUGUAUAAAAUAUCAUUCAUUG